UAAGGAGACUGGCCGGUGGACAAACCGGAGGAAGGUGGGACGACGUCAAGUCAUCAUGGCCCUUACGGGUAGGGCUACACACGUGCUACAAUGGCCGGUACAAAGGGUUGCGAAGCCGCGAGGUGGAGCUAAUCCCGAAAAGCUGGUCUCAGUCCGGAUCGGAGUCUGCAACUCGACUCCGUGAAGUCGGAAUCGCUAGUAAUCGUGAAUCAGAAUGUCACGGUGAAUACGUUCCCGGGCCUU
rnacentral:rRNA from 1 species